rnacentral:snoRNA from 1 species
CCCCUCUGAGGGUCGCUCCUGGAGAGUUUCCAGUACUCUACCAGUCUCUGCUAGGGGAGGGAGAAUCAAACAGAGGCCUUCCCAUUCCAUUCCUAGCUUGGCCAAUAGCUAGCGAGGGGAAGGCAAUCUGCUAAAGUC